rnacentral:lncRNA from 10 species
CAAAUUGGGUUCAGUGUAUACUGCUCGGAUGAUAGGUGCACCAAAAUCUUACAAAUCACCACUAAAGAACUUACUCAUAUAACCAAAUACCACCUGUUCCCCAAAAACCUAUGGAAAUAUACAUAUUUUUAAAAUAGAAUAUUUACUGGACAAGAACUGUAGAAGAAGAAGCCAAAUAAUUUCUGUUUUCCAGUGAUGUGAUGACGUCCCUGCAAAACCUUAGAGAAUUAUUGUUAAAAGUCACAGCGCAAUGAAGGGACCCUGGAGGUGAAUUCAUGUCUUGGGGCUGCCAUAAUCAAGAACACAGACCAAGUGGCUUCACAGAGAUUUAUUGUUUUACAGCUAUGGAGGCAGGUAGUCUAAGAUUAAGAUGUGGGCAGGCUGGUUCCUUCUGAGGCUGUGAGGGACCCUCUAGCCCUCUGUCUCAGGCCUGUCCCCUGGUUUCUGGGGGUUGCUUGCAAUUGCUGGCCUUCUUUGGCUCUGAGCAUCACCCAAAUAGCCACCUUCAUCUUCACGUGGCUUCCUCCCCUUGAGUACACCUGGGUUCAGGUUUCCCUUUUUUUUUUGACGGAAUCUUGCUCUGUCACCCAGGCUGGAGUGCAGUGGCGCAAUCUUGGCUCACUGCAAGCUCCGCCUCCCGGGUUUGUGCCAUUCUCCUGCCUCAGCCUCCUGAGUAGCUGGGACUACAGGCACCCGCCACCACGCCCGGCUAAUUUUGUUUUUAUUUUUUUUAGUAAAGACGGGGUUUCACCAUGUUAGCCAAGAUGGUCUCGAUCUCCUGACCUCAUGAUCCGCCUGCCUCAGCCUCAAAGUGCUGGGAUUACAGGCGUGAGCCACCGCGCCCGGCCAGGUUUUCCUUUUUUAUGAGAAGGCUGGUCAUAUUGGGCUGGCAUGAACUUUACUCUAGUAGGACCUCACCUGAACAAAUUACAACUGCAAUGACCCUAUUUUUAAAUGAAGUUUACACAUUCUUAGGAACUGUGGGUUAGGGCUUCAACAUAUGGAUUUCAGGAGGAUGCAACUCAGCCUCUAACCGUAGGGUAACAGGGUACAGAAAUAAUAUGAAAAAAUCAAAGAUGGGGAAAGCCCCCAAAACUGCAUGCCAAAAGAAACAAAGGAAUCCAACUGCAUUUCGGCUAAAUGAUGUCACCACAGGACUAGAAUUAUACAACCUCAGUUCAGGGAAGGAACAGCAAACUACCUUGACCUUGUCUCAGGAGGUUUGAUUUCUGGGGUGGUAAGAGUAUAGCAAUUUUGAAAUCAUUUUUAUAAUUAUUUAUUUAUUUAUUUAUUUGAGAUAGGGUCUCACUCUGUCACCCAGGGUGGAGUGCAAUGGCAUGAUCUUGGCUCAAUGCAACCUCUGCCUCCUGGGUUCAAACGAUCCUCCCACCUCUGCCUCCUGGGUAGCUGGGACCACAGGUGUGUGCCACCAUGCCUGGCUAAUUUUUUUAAUUUUGGGAAGAGAUAGGGUUUCUUCAUGUUGCCCAGGCUGGUCUUGAACUCUUGAGCUCAAGUGAUCCAACCCGCCUUGGCCUCCCAAAAUGCUGGAAUUACAGGCAUGAGCCACAGUGCCUGGCCUUGAAACCAUUUUAUGUGUAUUGUGGGACUGACUGGAUGAGUCAAUACGCUGAUGUGGUGGGAGAGAGGAUUUCCCUGUGACUGAGGGAAAAUAGGGGCAUAGAGUCGGGGAAGGCGUGGGAACACUGUAGGGCUGGAUGGAAAUUGUUUUUGAGGAUGAACCUGUCGGAAUUGUAUCAGAAUACCAUGGAGGCAUGCUGGAAAAACACGGUGGAGGUUCUCACUGGCCAGAUCCAGGGCAAUGAGAGCAUCACAAUAAAUAAGAACACCAGUGGAUUAUAAGUCCACACUGAUAAUAAAUAGACAAAUACAUAGUAAUAAAUAUAUAAGUCAGUGAAGGAGAAGAGAUGUCUCUUCCUUAUUGUAAAAUGCUGGCUGAUAAAUACAGAGGAAGUUACGGGAAAAUCAUUAUUUUGUACUGACUGGUUUGGGCAGAAAUCACCCAUGAAUGCUGAACUGAAACGGUGGGGUUGGUGAGGACCUUUGUGUGGUCUCAAAGUGUUUUUCCUCGGAGGAGAAGCCAGACAACACCUUGGCAGCUGAUCCAAGCUGGUACCACCAGUGAGAGAGGCCAGUGGGCACUGCAGACUUCUGAAGGUGCCUCGUGGAGGUAGUGUCCUGGCCGGGCAUGCAUAACUUGAAUCUGAGCACCAAGAAACACCAGGCAAACCCAGGGUGAGGACCAUCCGAGAGAGUCACUGCUUGUCUUAUUCAAAAACAUUGGUGUCAUGAAAAACAAGAUUAAGGAGCUGUUCUGGUGAUGGAGACUAACGAGACAGAAGAAUUCAAUGUCCUGUGUGACCUGAACUGGACCAUGCACUGACAGGGGAGAUGCUAUAAAGGACACCACCAGGGAAGGCAGCAGCAUUGGAAUAGGGGCUGAAGAUACGAUCAAGGCACUUCUCCUUCCUGCUGCCAUGUGAAGAAGUUCCCUUUCUUCUGUUUCACCUUCCACCAUGAUUGUUUCCUGAGGCCUUCCCAGCCAUGCAGAACUCUCCCUCAGUGACCAAAAUGGACUUUUCUGCAGAAUGUGGAGACUCAAGGCUUGCCCAGUGCUGGAGCAGAGGAGAGGCUUCCCUGGAUACCUCUGCAGGUGUCAUGAGGGCUGCUGUCCUGUCCUCACAGCCGAGAUGAAAGACCUCCAGUGAUGCCAGCACACGCCCAGGGGAUUGAGGAGGUGACAUGGGUGAAGAACACUCAUUGGGGUAAAAGAGAAAAACAUGUACAAAUUGCCCUUAAUGGAAGCCAAACGCUCACUUGGUGCUUGGAACCACAUGUAAAAGUGACCCAUCAAAAUUCAGGUGUCGAGGAGGUGGCUGCAGAGAUGCAGGCUGGUGUUUUUCCUGCAGGGAUGGCCACGAUUUGGAUAUUUCAAAGAAAAGAGAGGGGGAGUCCAUUGAGCCCAGAGCCCUCUCUGCUGUCACUGAAGCUGUCAUCUCCUGGUCCCCAGGCUGGCGGCUGCCCUAUUUCUUUCCCCCGCCACCAGUGUGACUAAGCAUGUUCAAGCUGAACUCCUCCCUAGACAGCGGCAUGUGUGGCCAUCUCAACGUCUCAAUUGCCUGUAAAGAGAGAUGUGUCUCUCCCGCUUCAAACCACAGUGGCGUCUUUGGGGUGUGAAUGAUGGAUCAAAGUCGCCUUUCUUCUGCACCCCUCUCCCUUUCAACGGAGGCAGCGUGCUUACAUGGCGAGCGUUGUUUUUUAGCCCCUCAGGUGUGCUUGGAGGAGGCACUGGCUGGGCUUCCCUGCAGGAACAUCAAGUCUUUUGGUGACUCACCUGAGCUUGACAAAUAGCCCUGUCUGCCCCGAUGACAGGGGCCCGGGUGCUGGGGAAAGAGCAGCAGGAGUGACUGACAACAGAUAGGUUUUCCUUUUCUGAGUCAGAGUCUGCUUGUGGGGAGUGGAUGCCAGAGAACAUGGAAGCCAAUUAAAGGCCAUUGAAAAAUUGGGUUGCAAGAAAGCCCCCUAAAGACAGGACCUGUUACAGCUGGCAGGUAUUCUGGGAUGUGGGGAUGGAAAGAACACUUUUCUGCAGUAGCCCAUGUUGGGGCUGUGUGGCCGUGGCCAUGGAGGGCAGACGCAGCCUCUCCACGAGGCCACCCACACUCCAGUGACGGUCACACCAGAAGGUGGGCUCAGCUGGAAGGGACUGGGGAGAAUGUGUUGGGCAGUUUAUUCCUCACUUUUUGGAAAAGGAACUAGGGAUGUCACGGUUGCUCUGGGUGUCCAGGAUGGGGUGCAUGGAGUGGGAGCCGGGCGGGAGCAGUGGCUUCUUUUGAGCGUUACGGUGUCACCAGCCCUGCCCUCUCCCUUCCCAUAGGACCCCUGUCUCGGCUCCCUCUCCUCUGACAGGUUCCUAGCUCGGCCCUCCAAGACCAUCCUAGGUGACCAGAGAUGGCUUCUUGUUCCUGUAGACCUUCAAAACCAGCCCUGGCGGGCAGGGCAAAGGGCAGGGUACAGUCACAGCCUGGGUGGAGUUCAAGUAGAGAGUUUUCCUGGAACCAGAGAGACUCCUGGGGGAGACUCCCAGCAGAGCUGGUGGCCACUGCCAGGCUAUGCUCUCGGACAUGGCCCCUGGCCACCUGUGGCAAUGUAAAUUUAAAUUCUCAUAAAAAAGGAUGAGUUCAUGUCCUUUGUAGGGACAUGGAUGAAGCUGGAAACCAUCAUUCUCAGCAAACUAUCGCAAGGACAAAAAACCAAACACCGCAUGUUCUCACUCAUAGGUGGGAAUUGAACAAUGAGAACACAUGGGCACAGGAAGGGGAACAUCACACACUGGGGCCUGUUGUGGGGUGGGUGGGGGCAGGGAGAGCAUUAGGAGAUAUACCUAAUGUUAAAUGACGAGUUAACGGGUGCAGCACACCAACAUGGCACAUGUAUGCAUGUGUAACUAACCUGCACGCUGGGCACAUGUACCCUAAAACUUAAAGUAUAAUUAAAAAAAAAAGAAAAAAAAAAAGAAAAAAAAUUCUCAUGAAUGCAGUUACAUAAAAAAUUAAAUUCCUCAGACACAGGAGUCACAUUUCAAAUACUCAGUAGCCACGUUGUGAGCACUCAUCCACUCAGAAAAUUCCAUUAGACACUGCUGCUGUCUCUAAUCUUACUCCUUUCCUGCUUACAACUUCCUGGUCAGCACCUGGCCAGGGCUACCGUCCUUUCUCAACCAAGCUGAGACCCAGAGGUUUCUCAAGGACUGGUGAUGACACUGUCUGCCUGUCACUGAGUGUCCCCGGGGGGCUGCAUGACAGAGCAGACUGCAUGAGGGACAGACAGCAAGAGUGGCUCUUUGGGUGUCUGGGGGUGGGGCCAUGACCUCUCAAUGGAUUUGGGGUAGGAGGGGUCCAAGGAGCCAGGGUCCUACGUCCCACUGGGACCCACCCAGAGGAAGGAGAUAUUGGAGGUGUCUUGCUGGUUCAGGAUGCUUGCUGGCUGGGGCUCAGGGUGAGGCAUGGAGCCAGUCCACCGUCUCGCUGGGACAGGUGGCCCGUCCCAACAAGAACAACAAACGUGUGGUCUGUGUUCCCUCAACCGUGUCCCUGCUGCACCUGGGCCAGCCACUGGCUCCCUUUUGAAACUCCUUCCUCCCCAGGGGCCUCCAGUGUCCCAGCAGUCCCUCUAGGAACCCUCCUCCAGUUCAGCUGUAGGACAGGGUGGGAAGCUGCCUGUUCUGGGGGGCUCAACUAGUGGUCCGCCUGAGAGUGAGUGGGACAGUCCAGCACGCUGCUUAUUGUCAAAUGCCAUCAACAGGGCAACAGAGGAACUCUACUACAGCCAUUCAAUCCAAGGACACUUGCUGGGGACGGUGUGCACCCCAGGCAUGGGCGUGGUGUGCUAGAGCUCCCAGUCUGGAGGGGGAGCGAAGCUCACACAGCCCUGUGGAAGCUGUAACACCCAAUAUUCACCUGACCCAUUGUUCUGUAGGCCAGCACAUCUCCUCCAAGCACCUGGUGCUGCGCGGGGGCUGUGUUUCUGCACCUUGGCCGCGCAGAACAUAGCCUUUUCUGUGUUGAGAAUCCCUGACCUGUGCUUCACCUCUGGAGCUACUGAGGCUUUUCCUGUUUGCAUCUCAAGGCCUUGGGCAGGCACAGGUGGCACCUUUGGGAGGUGACAGCAAUGGUGGCCAGGAGCGGGGCAGGGAGCAGGGGUGGUAUUAGUGGGAGAACGGGCUGGGCUUGGGCUCACAUCCUUACUCCACUUCAUCUCUGAGUCUGUUGCCUCACCUUUAAAAUGGGCAAUCAUAGUGAUAUUGCUGGCUGCUGUGGGAUUCACACAAAGAAACAGAAAGCAGCCCAGCACCUGGAAGGAAUGUGGAGGCUGACAGCUUGGUAUCCGCAUGUCUGCCUUGGGUUUUGGUUCUGCCACUGUGCACAGCUCGGGGGAUCUCAGGGGAGUCACCGAGUCUCUCUGGGUCCAGGAAAACCCCUUGCUCCAAGGGCUUAUGAUAACACUACCUGGGGGUAAUGCACACAGGCAUGUUGCAUCGUGCCAGGAAAAGUUGAGAUGCUUAAGAAGGGGUAGAUAGCUUCUGUGCUAGAAUGAUUCCUUCCUGUGUUCUGUUGUUAUUUGCAUACCGUUCUUCAGUUUGUUUCUAAGUUAUUUUUUAUUUUUUUGAGACAGAGUCUCUCUGUUGCCCAGGCUGGAGUGCAGUAGCACGAUCUGAGCUCGCUGCAACCUCCGCCUCCUUGGCUCAAGCGAUUCUCCUGCCUCAGCCUCCUAAGUAGCUGGGAUUGCAGGUGCCUGCCACUACACCUGACUCACUUUUUCUAUUUUUAGUAGGGAUAGGGUUUCACUGUAUUGGCCAGGUUGGUCUCAAACUCCUGGCCUCAAGUGAUCUGCCCACCUCGGCCUCCCGAAGUGCUGGGAUUACAGGCCAUACCCAGCCUGUCUGUAAGUUAUUUUAAACAGUGCUUUAUGGGGGCAUAGUCUCAAUACUGUAAAAUGCACAGUUUCAAAUGAAACGUUAGUUGAAUUUUGACAACGGAAACUUACCCAGAUUGAGUGAACAUUUUUAUCAUGCCAGAAAGACCCUGCCCUUGGCAGCCGUCUCCCCUCCCGACCUCCUCUGCAGGCAGCCAUUGAUCUGGCUUUCAUCACCUUAGAUUUGUCCCGCUUGUUCUUGAACUUCAUAGAAAUGGAAUUGCACCGUCUGUAGUCUGUCUUGUCUGGCUUCCUUCAUUCCACUCAUGUUUUCAAGACUCAUCCAAGUAGCUGCAUGCAUCAGCCAUUUGUUCUUUCUUUUUCUCCUGCUUUCCUCCCCUUCUUUCUGAGUAGAAUUUCAUUGAACGGAUAUACUACAGUUUGUUGAUCAAUUCUGUUGUUGAUGGGCGUUGGGGUUGUUCCUAGUUUUUGGCUACUACAAAUAAAGUUGCUAUGAACGUACAUUCUUGGAC